CUUGAGCGACCCCAGCAGCAGGGGCCGAUCGGCGGGUCGCUCCCGCCCGUAGGUGGCCAGCAGGGCCUGGGCCUC
rnacentral:antisense_RNA from 1 species